rnacentral:rRNA from 1 species
UGCGCAGGCGGUUUUGUAAGAUAGAUGUGAAAUCCCCGGGCUCAACCUGGGAACUGCAUAUAUGACUGCAAAGCUAGAGUACGGUAGAGGGGGGUAGAAUUCCAGGUGUAGCGGUGAAAUGCGUAGAGAUCUGGAGGAAUACCGAUUGCGAAGGCAGCCCCCUGGACAGUGACUGACGCUCAUAUGCGAAAGCGUGGGGAUCAAACAGGAUUAGAUACCCUCGUA